UUCUAAAAAAAUAGUAAGGGCAUAUGGUGAAUGCCUUGGAAAAUGGAGCCGAAGAAGGACGUGAUUACCUGCGAAAAGUCUGGGGGAGCUGGAAGUAAGCUGCGAUCCCGGAAUGUCCGAAUGGGGAAACCUAACAUGAUUUAUCUCAUGUUAUCUAUAAGUGAAUACAUAGCUUAUAAGAAGGGAACCUAGGGAACUGAAACAUCUUAGUACCUAGAGGAAAAGAAAAUAAUAAUGAUUCUGUUAGUAGUGGCGAGCGAACACGGAACAGGCCAAACCGUUCUACGGGGCGGGGUUGUAGGACUUUUGUUAGAGUUACAAAGUUAUUGUAUAGUAGAAGCUAUUGGGAAGUAGCGGCAUAGAGGGUGAUACCCCCGUAUACGAAAUGCAAUAACCUCGAGAAAGUAUCCUGAGUACGGCGAAACACGUGAAAUUUUGUCGGAAUCUGCCAAGACCACUUGGUAAGCCUAAAUACUACCAUUUUACCGAUAGUGAACCAGUACCGUGAGGGAAAGGUGAAAAGAACCCCGAGAGGGGAGUGAAAGAGAUCCUGAAACCAUAC
rnacentral:rRNA from 1 species